CAGUCGCCACGGUAAUACGGAGGAUCCAAGCGUUAUCCGGAAUCAUUGGGUUUAAAGGGUCCGUAGGCGGUCUUGUAAGUCAGUGGUGAAAGCCCAUCGCUCAACGGUGGAACGGCCAUUGAUACUGCAGGACUUGAAUUAUUGGGAAGUAACUAGAAUAUGUAGUGUAGCGGUGAAAUGCUUAGAGAUUACAUGGAAUACCAAUUGCGAAGGCAGGUUACUACCAAUUGAUUGACGCUGAUGGACGAAAGCGUGGGUAGCGAACAGGAUUAGAUACCCGAGUAGUCCCUGUCUCUUAUAC
rnacentral:rRNA from 1 species